AUGAACGCUGGCGGCGUGCCUAAUACAUGCAAGUCGAGCGAACAGACGAGGAGCUUGCUCCUCUGACGUUAGCGGCGGACGGGUGAGUAACACAUGGAUAACCUACCUAUAAGACUGGGAUAACUUCGGGAAACCGGAGCUAAUACCGGAUAAUAUAUUGAACCGCAUGGUUCAAUAGUGAAAGACGGUUUUGCUGUCACUUAUAGAUGGAUCCGCGCCGCAUUAGCUAGUUGGUAAGGUAACGGCUUACCAAGGCAACGAUGCGUAGCCGACCUGAGAGGGUGAUCGGCCACACUGGAACUGAGACACGGUCCAGACUCCUACGGGAGGCAGCAGUAGGGAAUCUUCCGCAAUGGGCGAAAGCCUGACGGAGCAACGCCGCGUGAGUGAUGAAGGUCUUCGGAUCGUAAAACUCUGUUAUUAGGGAAGAACAAAUGUGUAAGUAACUAUGCACGUCUUGACGGUACCUAAUCAGAAAGCCACGGCUAACUACGUG
rnacentral:rRNA from 1 species